rnacentral:tRNA from 1 species
UGUGUUGUAGCUUAGUGGUAGGACACUUGCCUAACAUGCAUGAGGCACUGGGUUCAAUCCCCAGCACCACAU